AUGACUUUUAGACCACUUGGAUGCACUUCCCCAAUACAGUUUCCUCUAAGUCACAUGGGGCCCAUGGGAAAGAGGUAGAUACCUGAAUUAAGUCAGGAUCCUAUUAAUGAGGGAGAAAGAUGGAUGAGGUGCUUGGUUAGGCAACCAAAGGUAUUCAAGUUUACCCAGAUAACAAGAGAUAAAGCCAAGAUACAUGUCCAAGCCAUAGGACUCAAGACACUCCCAUCACUGCACAGUAUAGUAUAAGGUAGAGUGUGUAGGGCUGGUACUAGGACCCAGGUCUGUUCAUUGCCAGUUUGCCUGUGUAUGUCUAGAAGGCAGCUUGGAUCCUAGAUUGGGGAAUACAGGUCCUAGUUGCUGGGGUCACCAGAUCUUACAAGCUGGCAUUUCACAAGGAGUAUGGGUUGCAGACAAGUUCUAAUUUUUUUUCCAAUUUCUUUUUCCCUUGUGGCAAUAUAAUUUUAGUCUUACGUUUAUGCACAGGCAUCUGCAAGUCCACAGCUCUGAUUAUUAUCAGUUCAUACAGAAGUUUGCAGACCUUCCAUUAGAAAUGACAGUUUCACUACCGCCAUUAUUGAGGUUGUGCUAAACAAAAGAUACAUUGCUUAAUAAUGCUCAGAUUUUUUAUUUUGUUACAUGACAUUAUAUUGAUCAAAUCUAGAGUCAGCCACAGUCACAUCGACAUUUUUUAAUGUUACUGCUAACUUACUGGAAAGAGUCUAAAUUAAAGAAAUAUUGUUUGGACGUUAGCACAAUCUGUUGCUUAAUUUUUUUUCACUAUUGGACAGACUUGGGCAUCUUCUGUAGUGUUUUAAGACAUUCCAAACCAAGGACAGGGUCUAGAUUUAUUCUUAGUGGUGAAUUCUGGGUUUCAAAGGCUACCCACAUAGAAGGAUCUCCCACAUACCCCUCAAAUAAAUUUCUUCCUUAGAUUUCCCUCCCUCCCUCCCUUCCUUCCUUCCCACUGGAAUUCCUAAAUGGUUAUGUGAGAUUUAAGCAGUUUGUCACUUACAUUUUACUUAUUUCUUGAAGAGUAUCUCAUUUUGUAAGUAUUGCAAAACUGCUAAAGUCAUUCUUUUGGGCUGGAGUAGGAAAAGAGAUGAAAGAGGUGAGGGUGUGGAAAGCAAAUCCCGUUGUCAGGAUCUUAACAAUAACUGUUAUUUAACUUAAUUUGAUGCCCUGAGGUAGAACAUCUCACUUUUCUGCUCAUCACAGCAGGAAACAUUCCCAUAGAUAUUCUGAUUCUGACCUAGAGUGUUGUAGGGGUUAUAAAGCAUGUAAAAGGGGCAAUUCCAAGGAAGCCCUGUUUGUAUUGCCUAGAAAUGAACAUGGUGGGACCUUUGUGUAUGGGGAAGAAACAAGGGAUUUGGGGUAUCAGAGGGACAUGGAUAAUCUGGGCUGGGAUAUUUGGGGCCAUUAAGAAUUGCCAGGAUCACUGGGGUGAUUCAGGCCCUGAGUACCUAGGGCAGAGCUUCUUAGGGCCUGGAACUUCCUUAGAGCAUGGAUUUCAUCCUCAGCACAUGCACGAAUGCUUUACAGGAGAUCCCAUCUAAGCAGAAGCCAUCGACCUGUAACCCAGUUUUUAAGAUCCAGAGCACCUGGAAAGGUGUGCAGUUACUUAAUAACCCUGUGUUAGUAAUCAUGGUCAACAGCACAUUUUGAGGCCAGAGCAUGGUGCAAAAUAUUUCUUCCAUUUCUUUUGGGUUCAUUUCAGACCAAACUGAGUUAGUCUUAGAAAGAUACCUGGACAUCUUUUUCUCUAGUCUCCCAGUUUUGUCCUUCCCUUGUCUUGGGGAAACCGCUUCCAUCCUGCAGGUUACCCCCAACAGGUCACUCUAGGUAGGUUUCACCUGGGGAUGGUGACAUGAGUAUUUUACAGUCCUUCCUUUAGUGUUUUCUUAGGAAUUCAGAUUCUUUAGGGAAGCACAUUUAUAAGACAAAGUCUUCUAUUGCUACCCUUAAUCACUUUUCAUAAAUUGUUUUAAUGCUUGUUAUGAUCAAAGAUUCCUUCCUAGCAGAGGUGGGGGUGAGGAGGAAGAGGACAGACAAUGAGAUGUUCUGAUAUUUACACCAUAGCCGUCCACAGGGCAGGACCUUCUCGAGGGGCCAUAUCCAGUUGCUUCGAGACUUGUGAGGAGGGGACUGAGGAGUUGAAAGAUACAUAAAGUCUGACUAUGAGUAGUCACCCUGUUAAGUGGAAGCAUAUAUGGGGUCAACCUUAUGGCAGUGGUAUGGGAUUGUAACAAAAUAGUCUCUCCAUCUACGGUACCAGUUGGGGCACAAGGGCUUUCUUUUUAGAUACUUGAACCAGUCAAGCUCUUAUCUAAAGUAAACUGUCCUUUCUGCCUUUUAAAAUGCUUGGGUUUUCUUUCAUGGAUUUCCAUUAAUAUACAUACUUGGGUAGAGAAAGAUUGCCUCUUAUAUCUACGGAGUCAUUUGUAUAACAGAAACUGAAAUUCAGACCAUCUCAUGAGGUGUAUAAAUAUGACCAGAAGCUAAAAAGCAUUGGGAGCAUCUAAUAAAUAUAAUGUUAUUUUGUUGUUGUUGUUGUAGCAACAUUAUUUUAAAUACAAAUUCUGUUGAGAGUGACUAGAUUUAUAAAUCUAUUUAAGCUGCUCAGACAAAAGGAAAAUUUAAAGAGCUAUGGUCAGGAAGGCUGAAAUGGAUUUGAGCUUGGUGACACCAAACUUUUAUCUGUUGACCUCUUUUCUCAACAUCUACAGGCAAACACUCACUCAUUUGAAACUUUGGUUUUAAAGAUUUCAAAGGAAGGAGCUGAGAUAAAAGUAAGCAGAAGGUAUGGGUUUCUUGAACUUUAUUUUCUGUAAGCUUAACACUCAAAAGAAAAAAUAUAUGGGCAUUAAUUUGAUGGUCAUACACAGGAAAGGGGUACUUUCCGUUGUGAGGCAGUAUAUCAUGGAGGCUGCGAGUGAAGGCUUGGGAGCCAAACUCCCUGGGUUCAUAUCCCAGUUUUGCCACUUGUUAGCUGUGUGGCUUUACGCAUGUCACUUAACCUCUCUGUGUUUCAAUUUCCAUUCUUUGAUAGCUUGGCUAUCAGGAUGGCAAUGUGCCGAUGGCAUAUGCCUUUUCUACCAAACACUUUAUUGAUUAUGAGUGCAUAAUAAAUGCAAAGCUUGUAAUUAAUGCGUUAUCAGUAUUUGCAUCUUCAAGUUGGCAGUAACCACUCGUCCUUGCUGUAAUAAGGAGAUAUACUGGAAAACCAGGGGAAGCUCAACAGAAUCGAAGGGAGGCAGGAAAGCCACAUCUGGGAAAAGGACAGGAAUCAAGGAUGUCUUGAGCAGCAGGCAACAAGAGCCACACCCAGGUCACUCCUGGCACUGGCCGGGCGUUCAGAGCUUCUGCGCUACCGGGAAUGCUCCAACGCUUGUUCUCUUGGGUCACUUUCUCUGGGGGAAGCCAGACCAGUGUUGUAAGGACACACAAGCAGCCCACAUCGAAAAGAGCUGAGGGUGCCCAGCAAGAGCCAACACUACUUAUCAGCCAUCUAAGUGAGCGACCUUGGAAGUGAAUCCUUUGGUUCCAUUCAAACCUUCAGGUGACUAUGGCCUUGCCUGACACCCUACUGUAACCUCAUGAGAAACCCCAGGCCAGAAUCACCAAGUGCUACCAAACUCUUGAGUCUUUGAGAGUGUCUCAAACUGUGAGAGAGAACUAAUGUUUGUGUCAUCUUAAGCCACUAUGUUUUGGGCAAUUUUUUACACAGCAGUAGAUAAACUGGGUUUCUUUACAAGCUGCACCAUAUAGGCUAUGGGUAAUCUUAAUCAAAUACAGAGAGGAGUUAGGGACUUAAAGGAGCAUCUCAAGCAAUUGUUUAUUGUUGUUUGGUUUUUGCUUUCCAACUAAGGAAACUGAAUUUCAAGUCAGCGUUCUGAAGCUUUGUACAAUAUUACUUUUGAAAUGUGUUUUGUUCUUAAUGCUUUCCGAAAUGACCUGUUGUCCGUAGAAGAGAGAGCACUCCCUACUGAGCGCAUCUGCAACUCUGGACAAGGCCGCUUGAGCUGGAAUUCCCUCUGGCACCGUUAAGUCAUCUCAGCCCUUUAGACCCCACUUUCACUGCUCCCUCUCAUUCUUUUGGGUUUCUGGGCCAUCGCAUCUUUUCCCUUUGGGAAAACAAGGACAGGGGAAAAUAAAUUAAUUAGGAAGGGAGGGGGGCUAGAUACCCACUGGAUGUUGGGGUGGAGAUCUUAAUAGCGUUUGCGAAACACCAGCCCCAACACCCCUUGGGAGACUGAGCCAUAACCCCUUCCCUUGGUGUCCCCGCCCGCAAAAUUCGCUCCUAGAAAAAUCCUCUCACGUCCCCAAGAGCGCAGGAGAGGAUCUCAGCGCAGCGCGAGGCUCUUGUGCUUGUUGGGAGAGGCGGAGCUGGGUUAACCAGCUCCUUGGCGCGUUUCCUCUGAGCUGGGGGAGGCCGAGCACGGACCGCGGAGUAGGCGCCCAACGUGGGGCGCCCGUAAGCGGGCGGAGGAGACCCGAAGGUGGGCGAGCGGGCUGCAAGCCUUGCCCGGCAGCUGCUCUCCGCGCCGAGCGCGCACUGCCACCGAGCGCCGGCGCCUCCAGGAUGGAGUGGGAGCUCAACUUUCUGCUCUACCUGGCGCUCUUCUUCUUCCUGCUCUUCUUACUUUUCCUCCUGCUCUUCGUGGUCAUCAAGCAGCUGAAGAACUCUGUGGCCAGCACGGCGGGGGCGCUCCAGCCCGGGCGUCUCUCCGUGCACCGGGAGCCUUGGGGCUUCUCCCGCGAGCAAGCCGUGUGACCCGCAAGGCGCGGGCACUAGCGGCAGGGCACCGAGCUGCGCGGGAGCCCGGCUGGAUCUCAGCCUCGAUUCUCUGUCCCCGUGGCCGCCCAGGUUCCAGUGCCAGGCUCGGUUGUAGCCCUGGCAGGUUCGUUCGGGUGUGGAAGGGGUCGGCGGAGGGGCGAGUUUCUCCGCCCCUCGGGGAGGUUCUGGGCUCGAAGUAGGCUUGGGUGCCAGGCGGGUGUAUGGGGUCCUGGGCUGGCGCUUUGCUUUUAGGGACGAACACUCAGCUUUUCCCGGGUGGGGAGAGAUGAAGAAAGAAAGACGUUCAGCCGUUGGAGCCGGAAUGACUUUGGGCACCUGCAAGCUCUUCUUCCCAGUUCCAAUGCAUUUUAGCUUGUGCGGAAUGGAUGGAAAACUAAAUCAUUCAGAUAAUUCAAUCCAACCACUUUCAAGCCGAAUUUGAUUAAAAAAAUCGAAUGUCAACCUUAAUGUCCAAGUCACUGGGAGAGUGUGGGGUUUGGGACAGGAAGCAGGAAGAAACUGCGCUCUUGAAGUAUUCCAAAGACUGCUUUAAAUAUCUUUGCGCUUUGGUAGACACUAAGUGGGCUUCAUCUGACAGUGGCAAGGAGGAUUCAGUGGCCCUUCUUCCCUUUAAUCCCUACUCCUCUUCUAGCCACAGACCCCAUUGAUGCCGGCAGAGUUGCCACACCAGGUGGGUUUUGAAUCUCAAAUGGCUGGAGGGUAAGCAUUAGAGAGUCAUUUGGGAGAUGACUUGGGGGUGAUGAAAACAGGUACUGUUCACACGUUGUAGGGCAACAGGAAAAGAGGAGCAAGGCUGUCCUUUCAGGUUACAUGACUAGGCCAUUUGCCAGAAAUCAGUGGGCAGCAUUAAACUUAUUAUGUGCCCUAAGCACCCUCCAGGCACUGUCAGUUUGGGGGAAUAACGGUUUCAUCUUCCAGAUGCUUUUUCCUCGAUUUACAUCGUCUCAAGUUCUGGAACCAGGUGUUGCCCAGGGUUGGUGUGCUGAAGACCCCCCAGUGCAGUUACGGUUGGUAAGAGGCAGCCCUGCACAGAGAGGAUGGGGACAACCCAAGAGGGACCUCUGCUGUAAAUGAUUUUUGGUGGAGUCUAGUUUGUGUUUGAUCCCGAGAAAAGGAUCCUGCCUUUCGUACAUAGGAAAAGGUAAUCUAUGUAAAGAAAGGCUACUUUACUCCUUUCUGUGAUUCCACCACUCAUCUAGGAAUAUCCUGGGAGAAGACUUGCUUCUCAAAGCUGCUUCCAUAAUCAGCCUACAUCCUGCCUAAGCAAAGGAAGAAGAAACACUUCCCACAUCCAGGGCUGUCC